UUGGAAACGAGGACUAAUACCGUGUCCCUAGUACGAGAGGACCGGGAUGGACAUCCCUCUGGUGUACCAGUUGUCACGCCCGUGGCAUCGCUGGGUAGCUAAGGAUGGACAGGAUAACCGCUGAAAGCAUCUAAGCGGGAAGCCUCCCUCGAAACCAGGUUUCCCUAUCAGGACCGUGGUAGACCACCACGUUGAUAGGCCGGGUGUGGAAGCGCAGUAAUGCGUGAAGCUAACCGGUACUAAUCGUCCGA
rfam:Rhodospirillum photometricum DSM 122 draft genome sequence